CAAAGGAGUGAUCCGGCAGAGGAUGGACAUGCGGCGCAUUAGCUAGUCGGCGGGGUAACGGCCCACCGAGGCUACGAUGCGUAGGGGUUCUGAGAGGAAGGUCCCCCACACUGGUACUGAGACACGGACCAGACUCCUACGGGAGGCAGCAGUGAGGAAUAUUGGUCAAUGGGCGGAAGCCUGAACCAGCCAAGUCGCGUGAGGGAAGACGGUCCUAUGGAUUGUAAACCUCUUUUGCAGGGGAGCAAGGCGCGGUACGUGUACCGCGAAGGAGAGUACCCUGAGAAAAAGCAUCGGCUAACUCCGUGCCAGCAGCCGCGGUAAUACGGAGGAUGCGAGCGUUAUCCGGAUUUAUUGGGUUUAAAGGGUGCGCAGGCGGACUGUUAAGUCAGCGGUAAAAUGUCGGUGCUCAACACCGGCCGGCCGUUGAAACUGGCACCCUUGAGUGAGCGAGAAGUAUGCGGAAUGCGUGGUGUAGCGGUGAAAUGCAUAGAUAUCACGCAGAACUCCGAUUGCGAAGGCAGCAUACCGGCGCUCAACUGACGCUCAGGCACGAAAGCGUGGGUAUCGAACAGGCUUAGAUACCCUGGUAGUCCACGCAGUAAACGAUGAAUGCUCACUGUCCGGGCCGUUUAAGGCCUGG
rnacentral:rRNA from 1 species